CUUAAGCAACAACACUCAUUUUGAACCUAGAAACUCAAACAACUCGAUAUGGCUACCGCUCAACUUUCAACUCAAAUUCUCCGGCCAAUCCCCGCCGCUUGCGUCAGUUUUCGACAAGUUACCACCACCGGACUCCCUUCUACAUCUCCUUCUUCUUCUACAACAAUCUUCAAACUAAGAAAAGAAGCCAUUACAACGAAUCAAAAGUUGAAGUGGGCACGUAGACUAAGCCUCGUGGAUCAAAGCAGCCCGGCUAAACCAACUGUUGAUGUUGAAGGGUUAGUUAGUUUCUUGUGUGAUGACCUUCCUCAUUUGUUUGAUGAUCAAGGGAUUGAUCCAACGGCAUAUGGCGAGCAAGUCAAGUUCAGGGACCCAAUAACAAAGCAUGAUACGAUAAGCGGUUACUUGUUUAACAUUUCUUUGCUGAAGGUGCUCUUUAGGCCUCUGUUUCAAUUGCACUGGGUCAAGCAGACAGGACCUUAUGAGAUAACGACAAGGUGGACUAUGGUGAUGAAGUUCACGCUUUUUCCAUGGAAGCCUGAACUGGUCUUUACUGGAACUUCUGUUAUGGGCAUCAACCCAAAUAAUGGAAAGUUUUGCAGCCAUUUGGACUUUUGGGAUUCCAUAGAGAACAAUGAUUAUUUUUCGCUGGAAGGUUUGUGGGAUGUGUUUAGGCAGUUGCGGGUUUAUAAGACCCCUGACUUGGAGACACCAAGGUAUCAGAUACUGAAGAGGACAGCUAAUUAUGAGGUAAGGAGAUAUACACCAUUUAUAGUGGUAGAAACAGAUGGAGACAAACUGUCAGGGUCAACUGGCUUUAAUACUGUUGCUGGGUAUAUCUUUGGUAAGAAUUCUACAAUGGAGAAGAUACCAAUGACUACUCCUGUCUUCACCCAAGCACUUGAUCCUGAAUUAUCUGAGGUAUCCAUCCAAAUUGUUCUUCCAUUGGAGAAAGAUAUAAGCAGUUUGCCAAAUCCUAGUCAAGAAACAGUUAACUUGAGAAAGGUGGAAGGAGGGAUUGCUGCAGCAUUGAAGUUCAGUGGAAAACCUACAGAGCAGGUUGUUCGUGAGAAAGAGAAAGCAUUGCGCUCUAGUCUUAUUAGAGACGGUCUUAAUCCUAAGAAGGGUUGUUUGCUUGCCCGCUACAAUGAUCCUGGCCGAACGUGGAGCUUUAUAAUGGUAUGAUUUGGUUUUUCCUUGGCACUUGCAAGUUUUCACUCCAUGCUUAGCACGCAAAAGGGAUUUUACUCCAGGGGAUUGUGCAGUUCACAUCUGACAAAUUUUUUGCAUCACCUUAACAUCGCUCAUGAGAAAUGAAGUGCUAAUUUGGCUUGAGGAAUUCACUUUGGAUUAGCAAGAUUACUCCUUGCAGAUCAUUCUUUCCGGUUUUGAAUUGACCAGUGUCACUUUCUUGGAAGUUGUAAUUAAGGGAACAGUAUAGGCCUUCCUUGGCUAAAACACAUGGACUGUAAAGCAUUUCUAAAGUUCAUGGUCUCAUGGAUGUAGCAAUUUAUUUAAUCAAAAAUGUUCAAAGCUCAGCACUCUUAACAGUCAAUAACAGGGGACAGUUAAGAACUGAAGAUCCAGUAAUACGAUCUCCAGCAGCAGAGCCUCUGCUUUAGGUCACAAUGUAAAAGGAAUGGAGGAGUUGCAGGAAAAAUCUAAUUACAGUU